ACUUCCAUCGAGACCAUGGCCAUGAUGCUGAAGAACACCGACAGCUCAAGGAUGAAAUCGAAGUCUUGAUCUGCUAAGAUUACCUUGGCAAAUAUGUUUGAGAUUGGCCAAGCUAGGCUAAUGAACAGCAUCAGAAAGUCGAUAUUGAUGUCGAGCAUAAUCAAUCUCCUGUUGGGGUCAUCAACAUAAUCUCAAAUCUUGAUGGA
rnacentral:lncRNA from 1 species